rnacentral:misc_RNA from 1 species
CCGAGUCUACAACUCCCAAACCCCUGUGAACAUACCUAUACGUUGCCUCGGCGGAUCAGCCCGCGCCCCGUAAAAAGGGACGGCCCGCCCGAGGACCCCUAAACUCUGUUUUUAGUGGAACUUCUGAGUAAAACAAACAAAUAAAUCA